rnacentral:rRNA from 1 species
AGUGAACGCUGGCGGUAGGCCUAACACAUGCAAGUCGAACGGCAGCACAGUAAGAGCUUGCUCUUACGGGUGGCGAGUGGCGGACGGGUGAGGAAUACAUCGGAAUCUACUUUUUCGUGGGGGAUAACGUAGGGAAACUUACGCUAAUACCGCAUACGACCUACGGGUGAAAGCAGGGGAUCUUCGGACCUUGCGCGAUUGAAUGAGCCGAUGUCGGAUUAGCUAGUUGGCGGGGUAAAGGCCCACCAAGGCGACGAUCCGUAGCUGGUCUGAGAGGAUGAUCAGCAAAACUGGAACUGAGACACGGUCCAGACUCCUACGGGAGGAAGCAGUGGGGAAUAUUGGACAAUGGGCGCAAGCCUGAUCCAGCCAUACCGCGUGGGUGAAGAAGGCCUUCGGGUUGUAAAGCCCUUUUGUUGGGAAAGAAAAGCAGCAGGUUAAUACCCCGCUGUUCUGACGGUACCCAAAGAAUAAGCACCGGCUAACUUCGUG